rnacentral:tRNA from 1 species
CGGGGUGUGGCGCAGUUGGCUAGCGCGGACGGUUUGGGACCGUCAGGUCGAAGGUUCGAGUCCUUUCACCCCGACCA